rnacentral:rRNA from 1 species
AUUGAACGCUGGCGGCAGGCCUAACACAUGCAAGUCGAACGAGUGGCGGACGGGUGAGUAAUGUCUGGGACCCUGCCUGCUGGAGGGGGAUAACUACUGGAAACGGUAGCUAAUACCGCAUACCAUCAGAUGUGCCCAGAUGGGCUUAGCUUGUUGGUGGGGUAACGGGUCCCCAGGGCGACGAUCCCUAGCUGGUCUGAGAGGAUGACCGGCCACACUGGAACUGAGACACGGUCCAGACUCCUAGGGGAGGAAGCGGUGGGGAAUUGGGCGCAAUGGGCUCAAGCCUGAUGCAGCCAUGCCGCGAGUAUGAAGAAGGGCUGCGGGUUGUAAAGUAGUUACAGCGGGGAGGCGUUAGCCGCAGAAGAAGCACCGGCUAACUCCGUGCCAGCAGCCGCGGUAAUUC